rnacentral:tRNA from 1 species
GAAGGUAUAGCUCAGUGGUAGACUGUAUGCUUAGCAUGCAUGAGGUCCUGGGUUCAAUCCCCAGUACCUCCA